CAGCCGCCGGGGAAAACGUAGGGUGCAAGCGUUAAUCGGAAUUACUGGGCGUAAAGCGUGCGCAGGCGGUUAUAUAAGACAGAUGUGAAAUCCCCGGGCUCAACCUGGGAACUGCAUUUGUGACUGUAUAGCUAGAGUACGGCAGAGGGGGAUGGAAUUCCGCGUGUAGCAGUGAAAUGCGUAGAUAUGCGGAGGAACACCGAUGGCGAAGGCAAUCCCCUGGGCCUGUACUGACGCUCAUGCACGAAAGCGUGGGGAGCAAACAGGAUUAGAUACCCCUGUAGUCCCUGUCUCUUAUACA
rnacentral:rRNA from 1 species